rnacentral:rRNA from 1 species
AGGACGAACGCUGGCGGCGCGCUUAACACAUGCAAGUCGAACGUGAAGCUGGAGCUUGCUCCGGUGGAAAGUGGCGAACGGGUGCGUAACACGUGAGCAACCUGCCCCGAAGACUGGGAUAACACCGGGAAACCGGUGCUAAUACCGGAUACCUUCUUCCGAUCGCAUGGUUGGAUGAAGAAAUGGAUUCCGCUUCGGGAUGGGCUCGCGGCCUAUCAGCUUGUUGGUGAGGUAACGGCCCACCAAGGCGACGACGGGUAGCUGGUCUGAGAGGACGACCAGCCACACUGGGACUGAGACACGGCCCAGACUCCUACGGGAGGCAGCAGUGGGGAAUCUUGCUCAAUGGGCGAAAGCCUGAAGCAGCGACGCCGCGUGCGGGAUGAAGGCCCUCGGGUUGUAAACCGCUUUCAGCAGGGACGAAAUUGACGGUACCUGCAGAGAAGGCCCGGCAACUACGUGCCAGCAGCCGC